rnacentral:rRNA from 1 species
AUGAUAACGCUGGCGGCGUGCCUUAGGCAUGCAAGUCGAAUGGAUGUGUUCCGCACCUAGUUAGUUAUACGUUGUAGGUUGGUAAUUGUACGUGCAACCAUUUAACUGAUUAAGUGCGGAACAUGUUAAUGGCAGACGGGUGAGUAUAAGUAAGGUAUCUACCCCAAAGUGAAGGAUAGCUCGCCGAAAGGCGGGGUAAUCCUGCAUAGUCCCGCAAGGGUAAAGGACUUCACUGUCCGCUUUGGGAGGGGCCUUAUUCCUAUCAGCUAGUUGGUGGGGUAACGGCCUACCAAGGCUAUGACGGGUAGCUGGUGUGAGAGCAUGACCAGCCACAAUGGCACUGAGACACGGGCCAUACACCUACGGGUGGCAGCAACCGGGAAUCGUCGACAAUGGACGAAAGUCUGAUCGCGCGACGCCGCGUGAGGGAUGAAGCAUUUCGGUGUGUAAACCUCUUUUGCCAAGACAUCGAGCCUUGGCGAAUAAGCAUCUACUAACUACGUGCCAGCAGUCGCGGUAAUACGUAGGAUGCAAGCGUUAUCCGAAUUUACUGGGCGUAAAGAGUCGCGUAGGCGGUAUUGCGCAUCUCGCUUUAAAGCCCCUGGCUUAACCAGGGAACGGGCGAGAGAUGGUAGUACUCGAGGGUUCAUGGGGUGAGCGGAACUGAUGGUGUAGCAGUGAAAUGCGUUGAUAUCAUCAGGAACACCGAGAGCGAAGGCAGCUCACUAAUGAACACCUGACGCUGAGGCACGACAGCUAGGGGAGCGAAGCAGAUUAGAGACCUGCGUAGUCCUAGCCGUAAACGCAUGAAUGCUAGUUGCUAGUCCCGCCAAGGGCGGAAGUAAAAUUCGAAAUCCGAAUAUCGAAACUCGAAACCUGUGAGGUUUCGUAUUUCGAAUUUCGUGCUUCGAAUUUCCGCCUUUAGCGGGAUUAGUGACGUAAGUCAACACGUUAAGCAUUCCGCCUGGGGAGUACGGCCGCAAGGUUAAAACUCAAAGGAAUUGGCGGGGACCCGCACAACCAGUGGAGCAUGUGGUUUAAUUCGAGACGAAGCGAAAGACCUCACCACGGUUUGACAUCCUAUUGUUUUAAACAACUAGAAACAGUUGUCUAUCCGCAAGGAAUUUAGGAACGCUGUUGCAUGGCUGUCGUCAGCUCGUACCGUGAGGUGUUCCCUUAAGUGGGGUAACGAGCGCAACCCUCAUCGUUUGUUAAAUAUUCAAACGAGACUGCCCCAGAUUUCUCUGGGGAGGAAGGAGAGGACGACGUCAAGUCAGCACGACGCUUAUGCCGUGGGCCACACACAUCCUACAAUGGCGAAGAACAACGAGUCGCAAGCCGGUGACGGCAAGCAAAUCUCUGAAAUUUCGCCUCAGUUGGGAUUGGAGUCUGCAACCCGACUCCAUGAACGAGGAAUUGGUAGUAAUCG